CUUCAUCAGCCGGUCUCAGGGUCGAGUGAGGAGGAUGGAGCAGGCGAGGAAGAGGAGAAGGGGGAUGAAGAAGAGCUCCAACGCGGUGCGAGACGGAGGCGUGCGAGGGAGGAGGUGCACCACACCGGAUCCGCUUAGCGGUGAGCACUGAUCCGGAACAUCCAGAUAACCUUUUCAAGCCAAGAGCGAGGUCAAUAUCAGGCAGAGAGAUGCUGCAGAGGUCCAGAAGUAUGUACAACAAGCUGCCAGAGGUGGCAAAAAAGAAGCAGGAGGCGCAGAAGAGAGCUGUGUCACAAG